GUGGAGGCUCAUAGGCCCGGCCUCGGAGCUCUCCAAGAAGCGCUGCCGCUUGAUGCACUCCUCUCUCGGCUACGACUCUGAUGUGUGCCUCUUCUACGUAAAGGGAGAGUUCUUUGCCAUGGAUGCUCGAUGCUCGCACUCCGUCUAGGGGGUCCUCUGUGUGAGGGGGACAUUGAGGAGGCUGAAGGAGUCCUGCAGGUCUUCUGUCCAUGGCAUGACUACGACUUCGACCUCAGAACUGGGAAAUCAGGGACAUCACUACAGCAACAAGUGUAUGAAGUCAAG